UACGUAGGGCGCAAGCGUUGUCCGGAAUUAUUGGGCGUAAAGAGCUCGUAGGCGGCUUGUCACGUCGGUUGUGAAAGCCCGGGGCUUAACCCCGGGUCUGCAGUCGAUACGGGCUAGCUAGAGUGUGGUAGGGGAGAUCGGAAUUCCUGGUGUAGCGGUGAAAUGCGCAGAUAUUAGGAGGAACACCGGUGGCGAAGGCGGAUCUCUGGGCCAUUACUGACGCUGAGGUGCGAAAGCGUGGGGAGCAAACAGG
rnacentral:rRNA from 1 species